CAUGAAUAUUAAACUGUUCUUCUCCUUUUUCUUUUUUACCUUCCUAUGAGGGGGUUUCUCGUUUGUAAAAGAUAAAAAGAAGACGAACAAGAAAACCUCCCUACCAACGGGAGGUUUUUUAUUU
rfam:Xenorhabdus innexi strain HGB1681 (deposited as PTA-6826 in the American Type Culture Collection) genome assembly, scaffold: XIS1_scaffold1